GACGAACGCUGGCGGCGUGCUUAACACAUGCAAGUCGACCGAUGAAGCCGGAGCUUGCUCUGGUGAAUUAGUGGCGAACGGGUGAGUAACACGUGAGUAACCUGCCCUUGACUCUGGGAUAACUGCGGGAAACUGUCGCUAAUACCGGAUACGACCCUCGGAGGCAUCUCCUGGGGGUGGAAAGAAUUUCGGUCAAGGAUGGACUCGCGGCCUAUCAGCUAGUUGGUGAGGUAAAGGCUCACCAAGGCGACGACGGGUAGCCGGCCUGAGAGGGUGACCGGCCACACUGGGACUGAGACACGGCCCAGACUCCUACGGGAGGCAGCAGUGGGGAAUAGUGCACAAUGGGCGCAAGCCUGAUGCAGCAACGCCGCGUGAGGGAUGACGGCCAUCGGGUUGUAAACCUCUUUUAGCAGGGAAGAAGCGAAAGUGACGGUACCUGCAGAAAAAGCACCGGCUAACUACGUGCCAGCCGCCGCAGUAA
rnacentral:rRNA from 1 species